rnacentral:rRNA from 1 species
GACGAACGCUGGCGGCGUGCCUAAUACAUGCAAGUCGAACGAACCGCGACUAGGUGCUUGCACUUGGUCAAGGUGAGUGGCGAACGGGUGAGUAACACGUGGGUAACCUACCUCAUAGUGGGGGAUAACAGUCGGAAACGACUGCUAAUACCGCAUAGGACAUAGGAUCACAUGAUCCAGUGAGGAAAGGUGGCGCAAGCUAUCGCUAAGAGAUGGACCCGCGGUGCAUUAGCUAGUUGGUAGGGUAAAGGCCUACCAAGGCGAUGAUGCAUAGCCGACGUGAGAGGGUGAUCGGCCACAUUGGGACUGAGACACGGCCCAAACUCCUACGGGAGGCAGCAGUAGGGAAUCUUCCGCAAUGGUGGCAAGUCUGACGGAGCAACGCCGCGUGAGUGAAGGAGGUCUUCGGAUCGUAAAGCUCUGUUGUUAGAGAAGAACAGCGCAUAGAGUAACUGUUAUGCGUGUGACGGUAUCUAACCAGAAAGCCACGGCUAACUACGUG